rnacentral:lncRNA from 1 species
GAGAACAACUUUGCUCGGGAUCUUUAAAAACCAAUGAAAGAAUUUCAUAAAUGAAAAGGAUUAGGACCACAAUAGUUUAAGAAGCUCAAGGCAUCUGCACAAACACAUAAUGCCUGAAAGAAUGGGAAAGAAACACCAAAUCCAACAAUCAAUAAAUAAAAUAAAUCCAAUAAAUCCAAUAGCGGAACAUGUGUCCUACUCCUACGAAAUGGUUAUGAAGCCUCCACUAGCCACAAAGAUGUGGAGAGACACG